AUUUGUGGGCACAAACGAUAAUUUCGCAUACAAGGAAAAAAUGCGUUGUCCCAUACAAUGAAAUCAACAGUCAAUUUUACCGAGUGAUGUGACAAAGCUGUAAUGAAGUGUGCGUCAAAUUUGUAUCAAAAAGUCAAAAGUAAUAAAAAAUUUAACGUGCGAUAAUUUUGCACAAAGUGGUCGAUACAACCAAACAAUUUAUCAAUCGCCUGACACUUAAGUCAACGUUUCUUGCCCAAAAUUAAACGAGUUAAUUCAGCAGGGACACAUUGCACGUCAAUGCCAGCAGCGGCAAAUACACUCGUUUGCAGUGAGGGCCAAUAUGGUUGCUUGAGAUUCAAAUUCAAAUUUAUCAGUUGCUUGCACGGAAUGAAAGGGAUUUCCCUGCAGGGUCUCCGCAGCGCACAAUCACCGUAUAUCCCAGAUUCAUAUGUAUGCAUUGAUCUAGUUGGUGGUAGCGUGGCUACGUCGUAAACUACGUCGUUCUCAAGUUUAAAAAAGUAAGCAAAAGAGGUUGAUCUAGCGGUGAAAAGGGACAGGAGAAAGCAGCUACG